UUGUAGCAGUUGCUAGAAUAUACUGGUACUUGAAUUCAAGAUCAGCUAGCUGAGCGCCUCUGGAGCAAGAAAUAACAGAAAAGGGAAGAGCAGAGAAGCAGGCAACAUUUACAAAUAUCUGAUAUUAAUUUUGAGAUUGAUAAUCUUUUUGAAAUGUAAGACCAUCUGUUGCCAUAAAUCUUCAGUUCAAAGUCUGCUAGGCACCAAAAUAUCUAUGCUGAAUAGUUUUUUAUGGAAAUUAUGAGAAGGGGCUGUGUUCUACGUGUGUAUUGUACUGAGAAGUCAGGAAGAGCUUGAGUUGGCUGUAAUUCUAAAGGAUGAAUGGAUGCCCCUAGUGUAUCCUAGCAACCGCUGAAAAGAAAUCAACUCCAGUGAUACAGCUUCAUGAGGCAAAGCUAAAGACCCAUUGAAACACGGUCAGAAGUAACACGGCCUGGACCAUGGACUGUCAGACCCCAAGUGGCCAGUGUAAGCUGACCUUCUGUUAGGAUUCUGCAAAGAUGAAGCAAGAGCAAAAAACUGGCUUAGGCUAAAGGAGGUCUCAUAAAAAUGCCCCCAAAUCACUAUGCUAAAAGCCCAGGUUUAGAGUGAAAGCUUUAGCCCAAGAAGACCUUUCCAUCUCCAUAACAAUGGAGGUCAUAGAAGCCUGUCAAA